AACAACUCUCAGCAACGGAUAUCUUGGCUCUUGCAACGAUGAAGAACGCAGCGAAAUGCGAUACGUA
rnacentral:rRNA from 1 species